UCGUGGAGUGAUUCGUCUUGUUAAUUCAGAUAACGAGCGAGACCUUAACUUGCUAAUUAAGGUGAGUGGAGUCCUUUCGGGCUUUAAUCGAACUGCUCCCUGUAUAGGGGCAACUAGAUCGCUCACAGAGUCCAAUUUAUAUCGUUGGAAGCUUCUUAGAGGUACAGCACCUUAAAACAUAGGGUGAGGAAGUUUAAGGCAAUAACA
rnacentral:rRNA from 1 species